rnacentral:rRNA from 1 species
UACGACGGGGGCUAGCGUUGCUCGGAAUCACUGGGCGUAAAGCGCACGUAGGCGGCUUUUUAAGUCAGGGGUGAAAUCCUGGAGCUCAACUCCAGAACUGCCUUUGAUACUGAGAAGCUUGAGUCCGGGAGAGGUGAGUGGAACUGCGAGUGUAGAGGUGAAAUUCGUAGAUAUUCGCAAGAACACCAGUGGCGAAGGCGGCUCACUGGCCCGGUACUGACGCUGAGGUGCGAAAGCGUGGGGAGCGAACAGG